GACGAACGCUUGCGGCGUGCUUAACACAUGCAAGUCGAACGGAAAGGCCCUGCUUUUGUGGGGUGCUCGAGUGGCGAACGGGUGAGUAACACGUGAGUAACCUGCCCUUGACUUUGGGAUAACUUCAGGAAACUGGGGCUAAUACCGGAUAGGAGCUCCUGCUGCAUGGUGGGGGUUGGAAAGUUUCGGCGGUUGGGGAUGGACUCGCGGCUUAUCAGCUUGUUGGUGGGGUAGUGGCUUACCAAGGCUUUGACGGGUAGCCGGCCUGAGAGGGUGACCGGCCACAUUGGGACUGAGAUACGGCCCAGACUCCUACGGGAGGCAGCAGUGGGGAAUAUUGCACAAUGGGCGGAAGCCUGAUGCAGCAACGCCGCGUGCGGGAUGACGGCCUUCGGGUUGUAAACCGCUUUCGCCUGUGACGAAGCGUGAGUGACGGUAAUGGGUAAAGAAGCACCGGCUAACUACGUGCCAGCAGCCGCGGUGAUACGUAGGGUGCGAGCGUUGUCCGGAUUUAUUGGGCGUAAAGGGCUCGUAGGUGGUUGAUCGCGUCGGAAGUGUAAUCUUGGGGCUUAACCCUGAGCGUGCUUUCGAUACGGGUUGACUUGAGGAAGGUAGGGGAGAAUGGAAUUCCUGGUGGAGCGGUGGAAUGCGCAGAUAUCAGGAGGAACACCAGUGGCGAAGGCGGUUCUCUGGGCCUUUCCUGACGCUGAGGAGCGAAAGCGUGGGGAGCGAACAGGCUUAGAUACCCUGGUAGUCCACGCUGUAAACGGUGGGUACUAGGUGUGGGGUCCAUUCCACGGGUUCCGUGCCGUAGCUAACGCUUUAAGUACCCCGCCUGGGGAGUACGGCCGCAAGGCUAAAACUCAAAGGAAUUGACGGGGCCCCGCACAAGCGGCGGAGCAUGCGGAUUAAUUCGAUGCAACGCGUAGAACCUUACCUGGGUUUGACAUGGAUCGGGAGUGCUCAGAGAUGGGUGUGCCUCUUUUGGGGUCGGUUCACAGGUGGUGCAUGGCUGUCGUCAGCUCGUGUCGUGAGAUGUUGGGUUAAGUCCCGCAACGAGCGCAACCCUUGUUCACUGUUGCCAGCACGUUAUGGUGGGGACUCAGUGGAGACCGCCGGGGUCAACUCGGAGGAAGGUGGGGAUGACGUCAAGUCAUCAUGCCCCUUAUGUCCAGGGCUUCACGCAUGCUACAAUGGCUGGUACAGAGAGUGGCGAGCCUGUGAGGGUGAGCGAAUCUCGGAAAGCCGGUCUCAGUUCGGAUUGGGGUCUGCAACUCGACCUCAUGAAGUCGGAGUCGCUAGUAAUCGCAGAUCAGCAACGGCUGCGGUGAAUACGUUCCCGGG
rnacentral:rRNA from 1 species